GAGGGCAAAGUCCUGGUUGAGAAAGUUACCUGUUUGCUUAAACAAGGGGUGACCAAAGAAUUUUCUGCUGCUCAGAAAUCUCACAUCAAGUCGAACAAUUUCCUCCAGAUUCAAUUACUCCAAUUCCAAAUGACCAAGAAAGGAAGAAAAAACAUAUAAAAGCAUUAACAACAGCAAAUCAAAUAGCUAAUAUUGGAAUAUGGUACGAUCACCCUCCGUAGCCAGAAGACAAUCAGAAGAACAAAAGUUUUCAUUUCUCAUUUCUCAGAAAAUACACACAUCCAUAUGCUUAGAGUUCUUCUUCAGAAAACAAACAUGGUCUUCAUUCAUUAUACAUCUGAGAACCAAGCAAAGAAAGAUCUUCUAUUUU
rnacentral:misc_RNA from 1 species